GCUGAAUGUGGGGAUAAUUUAUCUCUGUGUUGUAGCUAACGCGUUAAGCACUCCGCCUGGGGACUACGGUCGCAAGACUAAAACUCAAAGGAAUUGACGGGGACCCGCACAAGCGGUGGAGCAUGUGGUUUAAUUCGAUGCAACGCGAAGAACCUUACCACUUCUUGACAUGGAGAUUAGAUCCUUCUUAACAGAAGGGCGCAGUUCGGCUGGAUCUCGCACAGGUGCUGCAUGGCUGUCGUCAGCUCGUGUCGUGAGAUGUUGGGUUAAGUCCCGCAACGAGCGUAACCCUCAUCCUUAGUUGCCAGCGGGUUGAGCCGGGCACUUUAAGGAGACUGCCAGUGGUAAACUGGAGGAAGGUGGGGAUGAUGUCAAGUCAGCACGGCCCUUAUGGGGUGGGCUACACACGUGCUACAAUGGUGACUACAAUAGGUUGCAAUGUCGUAAGGCUGAGCUAAUCCAUAAAAGUCAUCUCAGUUCGGAUUGUCCUCUGCAACUCGAGGGCAUGAAGUCGGAAUCGCUAGUAAUCGUGGAUCAGCAUGCCACGGUGAAUACGUUCUCGGGUCUUGUACACACUGCCCGUCACGCCAUGGGAAUUGGCUUAACUCGAAGCUGGUGCGCUAACCGAAAGGAAGCAGCCAU
rnacentral:rRNA from 1 species